UACGGAGGGACUAGCGUUGUUCGGAAUUACUGGGCGUAAAGCGCACGUAGGCGGAUUUGUAAGUCAGGGGUGAAAUCCCGGGGCUCAACCUCGGAACUGCCUUGAUACUGCAAUCUCGAGUCCGGAAGAGGUGAGUGGAACUGCGAGUGUAGAGGUGAAAUUCGUAGAUAUUCGCAAGAACACCAGUGGCGAAGGCGGCUCACUGGCCCGGUACUGACGCUGAGGUGCGAAAGCGUGGGGAGCAAACAGG
rnacentral:rRNA from 1 species